rnacentral:rRNA from 1 species
GAACGCUGGCGGCAGGCUUAACACAUGCAAGUCGAGCGGGGAAAGGUAGCUUGCUACCUGACCUAGCGGCGGACGGGUGAGUAAUGCUUAGGAAUCUGCCUAUUAGUGGGGGACAACAUUCCGAAAGGAAUGCUAAUACCGCAUACGCCCUACGGGGGAAAGCAGGGGAUCUUUGGACCUUGCGCUAAUAGAUGAGCCUAAGUCAGAUUAGCUAGUUGGUGGGGUAAAGGCCUACCAAGGCGACGAUCUGUAGCGGGUCUGAGAGGAUGAUCCGCCACACUGGGACUGAGACACGGCCCAGACUCCUACGGGAGGCAGCAGUGGGGAAUAUUGGACAAUGGGCGAAAGCCUGAUCCAGCCAUGCCGCGUGUGUGAAGAAGGCCUUUUGGUUGUAAAGCACUUUAAGCGAGGAGGAGGCUACCGAGAUUAAUACUCUUGGAUAGUGGACGUUACUCGCAGAAUAAGCACCGGCUAACUCUGUGCCAGCAGCCGCGGUAAUACAGAGGGUGCGAGCGUUAAUCGGAUUUACUGGGCGUAAAGCGUGCGUAGGCGGCUUUUUAAGUCGGAUGUGAAAUCCCUGAGCUUAACUUAGGAAUUGCAUUCGAUACUGGGAAGCUAGAGUAUGGGAGAGGAUGGUAGAAUUCCAGGUGUAGCGGUGAAAUGCGUAGAGAUCUGGANGAAUACCGAUGGCGAA